rnacentral:rRNA from 1 species
ACGAUAGCUAAGACCCAAACUGGGAUUAGAUACCCCACUAUGCUUAGCCCUAAACCUAGAUAGUUAACCCAAACAAAACUAUCCGCCAGAGAACUACUAGCAACAGCUUAAAACUCAAAGGACUUGGCGGUGCUUUAUAUCCCUCUAGAGGAGCCUGUUCCAUAAUCGAUAAACCCCGAUAAACCUCACCAUCUCUUGCUAAUUCAGCCUAUAUACCGCCAUCUUCAGCAAACCCUGAAAAGGAAGAAAAGUAAGCACAAGUAUCUUAACAUAAAAAAGUUAGGUCAAGGUGUAGCCCAUGAGAUGGGGAAGUAAUGGGCUACAUUUUCUACAACUAGAACAUCCACGAAAAUCCUUAUGAAAUUAAGUAUUAAAGGAGGAUUUAGUAGUAAAUUCGAGAAUAGAGAGCUCGAUUGAAUCGGGCCAUGAAGCACGCACACACCGCCCGUCACCCUCCUCAAGUGAUUAGACCCCAAAGAAACCUAUUCAAACCACUA